AUUGAACGCUGGCGGCAGGCCUAACACAUGCAAGUCGAACGGUAACAGGAAGAAGCUUGCUUCUUUGCUGACGAGUGGCGGACGGGUGAGUAAUGUCUGGGAAACUGCCUGACGGAGGGGGAUAACUACUGGAAACGGUAGCUAAUACCGCAUAACGUCGCAAGACCAAAGAGGGGGACCUUCGGGCCUCUUGCCAUCGGAUGUGCCCAGAUGGGAUUAGCUAGUAGGUGGGGUAACGGCUCACCUAGGCGACGAUCCCUAGCUGGUCUGAGAGGAUGACCAGCCACACUGGAACUGAGACACGGUCCAGACUCCUACGGGAGGCAGCAGUGGGGAAUAUUGCACAAUGGGCGCAAGCCUGAUGCAGCCAUGCCGCGUGUAUGAAGAAGGCCUUCGGGUUGUAAAGUACUUUCAGCGGGGAGGAAGGGAGUAAAGUUAAUACCUUUGCUCAUUGACGUUACCCGCAGAAGAAGCACCGGCUAACUCCGUG
rnacentral:rRNA from 1 species